UAUAACCUUCACAACUCAUUAUUUUCCAUAACCUUCAAUUUUUUAAUUUUUGUUUGUGUUAUGCUGGCAUUCCUAUUGGCCAUAUGCUAAUGUCAACCUUUAAAACAAAAUGGCAUAUGAUGUUAGCCUUUUUGAUUAUUUGCAUUGCUUCGGUCAAAGUUGCAAGUUAUCCAGAAGGAGCAAAAUGCUUUCUGUCGAAAUUAUGUCCUACGUCGCCUGAUUUAUGUGAUAACUUUUGUAAAAUUACAUUGCACAGUAAUCGUGGAUUUUGUUAUGAAGCGGAGGGUACAUGUUGUUGCAUGUAGACAUUUAGGAUUUUUAAAGAUAAAAUAUGUAGUAUUUCCACUUGGUUGUAGAAAUACACCUACAAGUAGUUCCUUAAAAUUAUAAUAAAAAUAAAUUUAUUAUCAA